rnacentral:miRNA from 1 species
CAACCACCACUGUCUCUCCCCAG